rnacentral:rRNA from 1 species
CCUACGGGUGGCAGCAGUGGGGAAUAUUGGGCAAUGGAGGCAACUCUGACCCAGCAACGCCGCGUGAAUGAUGAAGGUCUUCGGGUUGUAAAGUUCUGUGAUGGGGGAUGAACACAAUGACGGUACCCCAAUAACAAGCCACGGCUAACUACGUGCCAGCAGCCGCGGUAAUACGUAGGUGGCAAGCGUUAUCCGGAAUGACUGGGCGUAAAGGGUGCGUAGGUGGUUUAGUAAGUCAGCGGUGAAAUUUCGGGGCUCAACCCUGGCGCUACCGUCAAAACUAUUAUACUAGAGUGCAGGAGGGGUAAGUGGAAUUCCGAGUGUAGCGGUGAAAUGCGUAGAUAUUAGGAGGAACAGCAGGGGCGAAGGCGAAUUGCUGGACUGUAACUGACACUGAGGCGCGAAAGCGUGGGGAGCAAACAGGAUUAGAUACCCCUGUAGUC